CCGGCCCACAGGCGCGCAAACGCACACAUGAUUCGGAUGAACAGCCCCGCAGUGUACUCGCGUAACGUCUUUUUAGCACCGUAGGCGAUUCAUAGACGCCCCCAUCGCUGAGGAACUCAUAGAGAAAGCGGGGUGCAUCUGGCACCAUCACAACGCACAAGACACACAUAAAUACAGCGCCUUCAUGGUCACUCAGCUCGCUGCCUCACCGCCUGCGCAGCGGCCGCCGGAUCAGCAUCAUGAACAAACCACCGACACCCCACCGCCGCGCCGGCCCUCAUCAAUGUCCCUCGUCGACUUCUCCUUCACACAAUUCUUCAUUGCGUUGGACGAAGCGGCAGCUGAGGAGCAGCGCGCCACUGCGGAGGCCAUCGCCGCGGCCCCUGCAACCGCCACAUCAACGUCCAGCGCCGUGCUACCUGCGACAAUGCCACACACAACGCAGCCCCUCGCUAGCGCUGCCACUCUCUCCUUGCACGACUGCGUCCUUCUCAAGCUAAGUCUAACGUGCGCCCUCUGCGGCCGACUACUCCGACACCAGCCGGCCGCCAUCGAAACCUGCGGUCACUGCUUCUGCUACGAGUGCAUCAACAACGCCCUGGAGAAUGGAUGUGCGCCGCGGAUGAUAGAAUGGCCGUGGUGUACGCUGGAGAAGGAGGUCGGCGCCGCUGAAGUGCGAUGGGCUGCCGCGACUGUGGUGUCCACGUCCGCGAAAUCAUUGCGCGCCAGCACAGCGGCAACCACUCCAGGAGGCGCUCCGCAAGCAACCGAGGAGACUGCAGAUAGACAUCACGAUUGCGAUGAGGUGCAAGUCGCGGUCCCUCUAGGGUCCCGGGCUGCACGCUCUACCGAUGCACAGUCGUCACGUCAGCCGCGCAAAUGGCGCAAGGUGCGUCAGAUGUGCCCACUGUGUCUUGGCCCUGCCUUUAAGUGGAUGCUCGUUCCCCUGCAGCCGCUCGCAGACCUCUGCAACUCUCUACAUUCGGCGUACCCAGGGCUGGAGGGGGCGCUUGGGCGGCUCACAGCAACUACGUCGAACAGCGCUGCGUUCAUCACGGAGUCACGGGCAGCGUCUGCAAACUGUGGCGAGGCAGGAGGAGAAAUCGACGGCGACAUGCAGUGGCAUGGGCAACCUGCCAGCGAUUCGGCUGGCCUCAUCACAGCCGCCUUCGCGCCUCGUUCGUCAGUGCCCGGUGCUGAAGACUGGCGGAGCACUCAGGACGAGGAGGCGGAGCGGCGCCGGCGCCGCAGCACCGGGGGGGCGCGGAAAGAAAUCACGUUUGCUGUCGACAUUGCAUCGCGAGUGCCGAGCAUUCCAGCCCCGGUCGCCGCCGACGCCCAGGCGACUGUGAGUAAGACCUCUGGCCCUGCCGCUGAUAUCGCAUGCGUGGCGCACAGCGCGGGCGUAGAAACCAUCGAGGAAGAGACGCCCAACUCAGCCGAGGCUGAGGAGCAGGACGGCGGCGUGGCAGGGGCAGCAGCGGCGGCGGUUCUCCAGCUCAGUGCCGAUUUGAUUCCCUCGCCAGGCGGCAUCCCUGCUCCAGCGCUCUCCGCGGCAACGACGGAGGCGCCGCGCAACAUAGUCUCCUCCAGUUCGUGGCAGCGCAGUGCUGCGCUCAACGCGCUGGACCCAACGCCGCUGUGCCGAGAAGAGGUGCUGGGGCACUCGCCUACAAAUGCCAGAGAAGACGAGGACACUCAGCAGGGUGGAGAGGGGGACGUGGAUGCGGUGGUUAACCUUUACUUGGCGCCUGUCCACCAGCACGAGAAGGGUGCGAAGGGCACCGCAGUCGCGACAGCCAACGCGGACGCUCCUCAGCCCCUGCUUCCGUUUUUCACAGCCCAACGCCACCACUGCCUCUUACUUGACACUGUACCUACGCCAUCGGACAAAAGCGGCGUGCUGUGGCCGGUGACGACGUCUCCAACGAGAAAGGAGGAGGCGGAUGGACGGGCGCCGCCAUCAGCGCGGCUGUCGGCGCCCCUCGGCAGCAUCGACGCGAUCCUGCGUGCGCGCGCCUCUUCCACAUCCGGGUGGUCUGUCGUGUGGGACGGGGUGGAAGAAAGGAAAAGCGACGACAGCAGUGACAGUGACGAAGGCUGUCCCACUACCCGGGCACCAUCGAGUCAAUGCCCCUACUCCACUGUACAAGUCGCUGAGGUAGGUGAAGAUGAGUGCGCUGCCCGGGGAGAAAGGAGAGGCAACGGUGGUGUCGAUCGCGAACAUCGACGCCCUAUCCCGGCGAAUGCUUUCUCAGGCGUGAGCCGUCACACCGUGAAGGAUGCGCUGACCUUCGUGCACAUGCAGGAUGUUUGGGAGUUGCACACAGCACUAGUCCGUCGACAUCCCCGACUGCCUCCGUGUUUUGCCGCCCUGCGGCACGGUCGCGUUCGCUGGCAGGCAGACGUAGCAGCAGAAGAGGAUAGCAGCGAGUGUGCAGUUGACUCGACAUGCAACGGUGCUCCGCACCCACCGCCGCCGAUCCUUUGCGUGGUGGGGCACUACCCACAGCAGUCGUGCGGAAGCGACCCAUCAGGCUUGCGUCUCCUCCCUAAGCUCACCCCAACCGCCUGUACAGCUCUCGUGCUCGGUGUCCCAUGCGUGGACAUGACGUGGGUCGCGUCUCCGACGUCUUCGCCUUGGACGGCGCACGCCGUCUCUGGGUGGCAAACGAGCACCGCUGUCGUGGAUGGCACACCAUCGCCUUUGGUGCGUGAGCGGCAGAGGCCGAAUGCAUUCCAGAACGCGCUGGAGCGACUGACGGCGGCGUCUGGCGCUUCUUCCCAGCCACAGCGCCUCGCAGAGUCACUGCCGGGCUCGUGGAUGGCCACAACGCAGCGCGCUCUCUUGGCCCACCUACACCCCACCGCGCAACCGCGCAACACUCAAAACGGCUCUGAUACGACUGCGACCCAUGCUGCCGUAGAUACGUACGUGUUCUUUCUCCUGCCAGACGGCGCCACGCGGCAGCUGGGUGAGAUGCUCUACCAACAGUGGACCCGUGCAGCGUUGUGGCAGUCACCGCAAGCAAUGGGUGCGCCUCCGACGGUGGUGGCGCCUCUCUCAUUAUCGUCGCGCAAGCGACGCAGAGAUGGGGUGCCUUUCAGCGGCAUCAUACACGGUAUCGGCAAUUGGUCGGCGACGGAUGGCCACCCGCAACGAGCUUGGCGACGUCUGCUGCUGGUGGCCGGUGGCGCAGCAGUGGAACUUUCGUGGACGCUCUUCGAGGCCCUUGUGGCAACCGCCGCUGCCUUGGAGGACGGCGACAGCGUGGUAGACGGGCGCAGCGCGACAGACACGGACUCUUUGGUAAAGGCGCUGGCUUCACACCUUCGGCAUCGACGCACCAGUGGCACCGGCAGCUUGUGGAUCCAUGUAGACGUGGCGGACUGCUGGCGAGAGCCAUCGCCGCCGCCGUCGGCAGCGAGCCCAGUCCGCUCCUGCGGUGCCCAGCACACAUUCUUCCUCCUCUACAGCAUGGCGGUGGCACGCGAUGUUUUCGCGCAGCUGGUAGCAGAGAAAAAUGUGCGCGGGAAAACGCCGCGCACGUCGCCCUCUUCUUCAUCGCCGGCGUCAGGAGAUGACAGCACCGCUCGCACCCGGGCGUAUUUGCGACGCUUCAAGGUUUUUCUCGAUCGUCUCGCAGCGCUCGUCGCCGUCGUAGCGGCGCCGGUUCUUCCUGGCAGCGCCUCUUUGUAUGGAGGCGCGUCACACCGGCAGGAGGCUCGCCCGUCCAGCUGGUUAUUGGAGAACAUUGCGCAAGGGCGCCGCAGUGCCGGCAGCAGCGUCAACAUCUCGGCGCUGUCGCCAACUCAAGAAGAUGCCGGCGACGUCAGCGCGUCAUCCAUCAUCACAGCCGAAAUGCGGAGCAGCGGCGAACGGGCAAGGAGGCGGCUCGAUGCUGCUGCUUUCUCGAUGGGCGAGUGCGGCGCAGAGGGCGAACGGCAAGUCGAAGGAGCUGCGGCUCUUCCAGCGCAGCGAGCUGGAGUGUACCGUAGCUUGCUCUACACCGACACUCCGUAGCGGCCAGGCACCUGCUCGGCUUACGAGCACGCGCCCCGGCCCGCGCUCACGGAUGGGCUCUCACCAGGAUGCACAGAAGCACGCAAAGUAACGACAAGAAAACCAGCGUGGUGGCACGCCCUUUGCUCACGCAUGCGCAGGGCUCGUGGGGUGUGUACGUGUAUGCCUGUUGUUUGCGUUUCGCCGACCACCCCGGCGCGAGCAUGUAAGGCUUGUGUGGGUGCAUGACGUGGAGUCGCUCUCUGGUGGGGCGUGUCCCCUCCUCUUCCCACGUCUCUUUUCACUAAGCACGACUCUUUCCUCUCUCUCUAUCUGUGCAUGGUCGUGUCCCUCUGUCCACGCGUUUUUCUUCUCUUGCCCUCGCUUGCCGGCACGUGGAAG
rnacentral:misc_RNA from 1 species